GACGAACGCUGGCGGCGUGCUUAACACAUGCAAGUCGAACGGAAAGGCCCUGCUUUUGUGGGGUGCUCGAGUGGCGAACGGGUGAGUAACACGUGAGUAACCUGCCCUUGACUUUGGGAUAACUUCAGGAAACUGGGGCUAAUACCGGAUAGGAGCUCCUGCUGCAUGGUGGGGGUUGGAAAGUUUCGGCGGUUGGGGAUGGACUCGCGGCUUAUCAGCUUGUUGGUGGGGUAGUGGCUUACCAAGGCUUUGACGGGUAGCCGGCCUGAGAGGGUGACCGGCCACAUGGGGACUGAGAUACGGCCCAGACUCCUACGGGAGGCAGCAGUGGGGAAUAUGGCACAAUGGGCGGAGGCCUGAUGCAGCAACGCCGCGGGCGGGAUGACGGCCUUCGGGUGGUAAACCGCUUUCGCCUGUGACGAAGCGUGAGUGACGGUAAUGGGGAAAGAAGCACGGGCUAACUACGU
rnacentral:rRNA from 1 species